GUCACAGCGCCAGCAAUCAUCAAUAGGAUUACCAGUUCCACAUGAGAAAUAGCCAAGCCUCCUCCUUUCAGUACUGUUGCGUAUGCUCAUUUCGACCAUGGCAACCACCUCUUCUGGGUCAUCAACUGCGUGCUCAUUUUUCCAGGCCUCAAUAUCUUCUCCAGAACUUGCAGCCAUUGAUGAAUUCUUGGAACUCUGCAACUUCUCUGUUUCCUCAUUCCUGGAAAGACCAGAUAUCCCGUCGUUCCGAACAGUGGCUGCAACUCCGACGAACAUGAGCACAAGCACCGCCGCACAAACACAAACCCACUUGGAAGGCACCGCCAUUGACACCAUUUCCUCUCUCUCUUUUUCCUCUGUUAGUAAUGUUAAUGUAGCAGAGAAAGUAAAAGGGAAAAAGCGGAGAGGAUUGAAAGAACGAGUGUCUAGUCAGAGAAAAUAGCUGCAACAAAGCGAACUUUUUA
rnacentral:misc_RNA from 1 species